rnacentral:rRNA from 1 species
CUACGGGGGGCUCCAGUGAGGAAUAUUGCACAAUGGGGGGAACCCUGAUGCAGCAACGCCGCGUGGAGGAUGACGCAUUUCGGUGUGUAAACUCCUUUUAUAUGUCAAGAAAAUGACGGUAGCAUAUGAAUAAGCACCGGCUAACUCCGUGCCAGCAGCCGCGGUAAUACGGAGGGUGCAAGCGUUACUCGGAAUCACUGGGCGUAAAGGACGCGUAGGCGGGUUGGAAAGUCGGGUGUGAAAUCCUACAGCUUAACUGUAGAACUGCACUUGAAACUUCUAAUCUAGAGUAUGGGAGGGGGAGAUGGAAUUAGUGGUGUAGGGGUAAAAUCCGUAGAUAUCACUAGGAAUACCUAAAGCGAAGGCGAUCUCCUGGAACAUUACUGACGCUAAGGCGUGAAAGCGUGGGGAGCAAACAGGAUUAGAUACCCGGGUAGUC